UCCCUCUUAGCUCAGUUGGUAGAGCGCGUCACUAGUACUUCAGGUUGAGAAUUUCAUGACGAGGUCAGUCGUUCAAAUCGGCUAGCGGGAA